GGGGUGAUGGCUCAGUAGUAGAGCGCUUGCUUAGCAUGUGUGAGGUACUGGGUUCGAUUCUCAGCACCUCA
rnacentral:tRNA from 1 species